AAUUCGCCCUUAGCCAGCUUGUUCAUCUCGUCCCAGGAUGCAAAGCGCGGUGGCUCUGGCUGUGCAGGGCGCCCUUGCGCGCUCAAAAGCCCCGCAGUAGCCGCGCAUAGCACCAGGGCAGCGCCUGCUGUCGGAGCGCAGCGCAUGAUUCUGGGGGUGGCCUUGGGUGCAGCAACGCUAGGACUCCGGAACGCAGGAGUUCAAGACCCAGCAGCUGGAGUUCUGGGGGAGCCGGCUCAGACUUAGACUUGCUCUGGUGCAGAAGAAGAUCUGGAGCCCGUAGCUCAUAAGCGUUUCACGGUUGCAC
rnacentral:rRNA from 1 species